GUUAGCUAGAGCAUAGUUGUAUCUAGAGGUAAUCAACUUGAGGUUUACUACUGCAAGGAUCAAGAACAUGCAGUGAAUGCAUGGAAGCAAAGGAAAGGCAAAGUUGGUUUUGAUCAUAAGCUGGAAAAAACAGUGAACCAGCUAGUACUUAGCUAGCAAUGAGCUGUAGGUUUGUAUGACGGUUUGUAAGUCCUAUAAAAGGACAUGUACCCCUCAUGUGUUGAGUAUGUGAUAUAGAACAUGAGAUAUAGAGCAUAUAGAGCUUGAUUGUGAAGAUCAAGCUAGAGUGUGGUAGUGCUUGGUUGUGAAGAUCAAGCAAGUUGUUCUAGGUUGUGACAAUCUAGUGUGUUUCAUUGUGUGUAAGCUUGUAGUGUGAGGCUACAAGAUUAAUAUAGUUUUUUUGAGUGAUCUCUCAUUCUUCUUGUGUGUGUUCAAGAUAGUUAAGAGAGUAAGGAAGGAAUUGAGUGAUUUGAUUCCGACAAAUUAGCGUGACAGUGCGAUUCUGUCCAACA